GCGAGAGCAAGCGGACCUCAUAAAGUGCGUCGUAGUCCGGAUUGGAGUCUGCAACUCGACUCCAUGAAGUCGGAAUCGCUAGUAAUCGUGGAUCAGAAUGCCACGGUGAAUACGUUCCCGGGCCUUGUACACACCGCCCGUCACACCAUGGGAGUGGGUUGCAAAAGAAGUAGGUAGCUUAACCUUCGGGAGGGCGCUUACCACUUUGUGAUUCAUGACUGGGGUGAAGUCGUAACAAGGUAACCGUAGGGGAACCUGCGGUUGGAUCACCUCCUU
rnacentral:rRNA from 1 species